CGGAGGGGUCAUGCCCUCGGCGGACUGCUCAGUAACACGUGGACAACCUGCCCAAAAGUCUGGGAUAACCCCGGGAAACUGGGGAUAAUACCGGAUAGGUCAAGGAUGCUGGAAUGCUUUUUGGCUGAAACUUCAGGGGCUUUUGGAUGGGUCUGCGGCUGAUUAGGUUGUUGCCGGUGUAACGUACCGUCAAGCCAGUUAUCAGUACGGGUUGUGGGAGCAAGAGCCCGGAGAUGGAUUCUGAGACACGAAUCCAGGCCCUACGGGGCGCAGCAGGCGCGAAAACUUUACAAUGCAGGCAACUGCGAUAGGGGAACAUCGAGUGAUACUCAUAUUGGGUGUCUGUCCCAUCGUCUAAAAAACGAUGGUUAGCAAGGGCCGGGCAAGACCGGUGCCAGCCGCCGCGGUAAUACCGGCGGCUCGAGUGGUGGCCGAUAUUAUUGAGUCUAAAGGGUCCGUAGCCGGCUUGGCAAGUCUCUUGGGAAAUCUGGCGGCUUAACCGUCAGUCGUCCGGGAGAUACUACUUUGCUUGGGUCUGGGAGAGGCGUGAGGUACUCAGGGGGUAGGAGUGAAAUCCUGUAAUCCUUUGGGGACCACCGGUGGCGAAGGCGUCACGCCAGAACAGGUCCGACGGUGAGGGACGAAAGCUAGGGGCACGAACCGGAUUAGAUACCCGGGUAGUCCUAGCCGUAAACGAUGCUCGCUAGGUGUCACGGCAGUCGUGAAUUGCCGUGGUGCCGUAGGGAAGCCGUGAAGCGAGCCACUUGGGAAGUACGACCGCAAGGUUGAAACUUAAAGGAAUUGGCGGGGGAGCACCACAACGGGUGGAGCCUGCGGUUUAAUUGGAGUCAACGCCGGA
rnacentral:rRNA from 1 species